rnacentral:rRNA from 1 species
AUGCCUGUGCUGCCGUUUCCGACCUCGGGUGCCAAAGAUCUCCGUCGGGGCCCACGCGUCAGCUUUGACCAAGCUGACGUGGCUGUUGACUGGGCCCACAUGUCAGCGACACUAAUCAGCCCCAGUCACUUACUAGUGGACCCCACUGGUCAGGUUUGA